rnacentral:rRNA from 1 species
GAUGAACGCUAGCUACAGGCUUAACACAUGCAAGUCGCGGGGCAGCAUGGGGGUUGCUUGCAAUCCCCGAUGGCGACCGGCGCACGGGUGAGUAACGCGUAUCCAACCUGCCCUUCACCACGGGAUAACCCGGCGAAAGUCGGACUAAUACCGUAUGUUGUCCAUUGACGGCAUCCGAUUUGGACGAAAGGCUUGGCGGUGAGGGAUGGGGAUGCGUCCGAUUAGCCAGACGGCGGGGUAACGGCCCACCGUGGCUACGAUCGGUAGGGGUUCUGAGAGGAAGGUCCCCCACACUGGAACUGAGACACGGUCCAGACUCCUACGGGAGGCAGCAGUGAGGAAUAUUGGUCAAUGGGCGUAAGCCUGAACCAGCCAAGUAGCGUGCAGGAUGACGGCCCUAUGGGUUGUAAACUGCUUUUAUGCGGGGAUAAAGUGGCCCACGUGUGGGCUUUUGCAGGUACCGCAUGAAUAAGGACCGGCUCAUUCCGUG